UGAAAGGGCAAAGCUCCAUGUGAACUAUAU
rnacentral:piRNA from 1 species